ACGACUCUCGGCAACGGAUAUCUCGGCUCUCGCAUCGAUGAAGAACGUAGCGAAAUGCGAUACCUGGUGUGAAUUGCAGAAUCUCGCGAACCAUCGAGUCUUUGAACGCAAGUUGCGCCCGAGGCCACUCGGCCGAGGGCACGCCUGCCUGGGCGUCAUGC
rnacentral:rRNA from 1 species